GAGAGAGACAGAGAGAGACAGAGAGAGACAGAGAGAGAGAGACAGAGAGAGAGACAGAGAGAGAGAGAGAGAGACAGAGAGACAGAGAGACAGACAGAGGGAGAGUAAAAGUCUGAGGGAAGGUGUGACAGAGCGGCCCGGAGAGAAAGAGAACCCAGGACAGACCGGGACGACAAGCCCACCAACAGAGCCAGACCUGCAGACGGUGAGUAUAAGAGAGUUAUCUCCAUCUUUACUGCAGCUGUGGAGAUUCUGAACAGGUGUGUCCACGUUUAGAGUUUAAACCCGGGACACGGUUCAAAGUAAUCCUUCAGGGUUGAAGCUAUGGGACAGGAUCUGAUCUUGAAAUCAAGAGGUUCACAGUUUUACUAAUCCAUAAGAUCUGAUCAUCCAGUCCUGAUUUAAUCCGGAUGAAACCUCCAGUUUGUGCCGCUGAAACGGAUCCGUUCAGACCGGAUUAAAGACGUUAUGUGAGAAAUGAUUCAACUGCUCAAACAAAAUAACAUCUUUACAUCGUAGUUGAUUAUUUAAGACACCUUUAAAAUAGAUUUUGUAGAGCUGUCGACAUUAACUGGUUAAUAACGGCUCAUUGAAGUCUGAAAGGAAGUCAGAAAUUCACUUUAAUCGCAUUAAUCUCGUGAUAUUUUUGUCCCUUAAGGCUCACCGUAGAAAGUCCUCCUCAGUGUCUCCCUGUAGUCUCAGUCGGAACAGGGACCAGGUUGAUCUAAUCUGGUUUUUCUUUUAACAACCGGGUCAAACGGGAGCUGGAUUAGCUGACCCUCGGUAGAAAAGAAAAGUGGGUUACCAAAUCUGGAUCCUUUUUAUCUGUAUAAAAACCUUUUGAUCAGCCGGGCCUGAAGAUCAGGACAGAGACAAACUGUUCUGCUAGAGCUAAAAAACAGAUAGAGCGCCAUCCUCAAGCAGGAAGUGACCUGACAGGUGAGGGAGUGCGUGACGCUCGCUCAGAGAUUAUUGUUCUGAUAUUAAAAGAGGCUGUUAAGAAUGAAAUGUUAGAAAUUAAAGAGUCCAAACAGUGAACAACAAACCUGAACUUCUUCUCCCUCCUGUUUCCUCCAGGGUCUCAUCAUCGGUGUCUGUGUUGGUGGUCUCGUUGUCGUUUUACUUGCUGUAGUC